GCUGAAGCAAGAGGUGGUUUCUGUUGCGCCAACGAUUAUCCUGUCUUCAAACGGAGAUCUUGAGCUGGUGUUGUCAGGGGGUGGUGGCAGAUAUACCAGCGCAGACACAGCUUAUGUUGCAAUUAACAGACUGAUUUUAAGACGACAUCUGCGGUCAUCUAUCGCGCAAACACGUCAUCAUGUUCUUCCUUUUACUGAUAUUGUUGCACAUGAGAGAAGAUCUCCUAAGGAUGAAACUGGAGCACUUAAGAAGCAUGAUGUAAAUGUUUCUGAAGCAUAUUCCUUUAGAACGGGUGUUAUUGGGGUAGCAAAUACCACUUCCAAUCAAUAUGUCGUCAGCCUUGAUCGUCGAAGAAGCACAG